rnacentral:rRNA from 1 species
ACAGAGGUGGCAAGCGUUGUUCGGAAUUACUGGGCGUAAAGGGCGCGUAGGCGGCCUUCUAAGUCGGACGUGAAAGCCCCAGGCUUAACCUGGGAACUGCGUCUGAUACUGGGAGGCUUGGAUUCGGGAGAGGGAUGUGGAAUUCCAGGUGUAGCGGUGAAAUGCGUAGAUAUCUGGAGGAACACCGGUGGCGAAGGCGGCAUCCUGGACCGAGAUCGACGCUGAGGCGCGAAAGCUAGGGGAGCAAACGGGAUUAGAUACCCCGGUAGUCCUAGCCCUAAACGAUGAGUGCUUGGUGUGGCGGGUAUCGAUCCCUGCCGUGCCGAAGCUAACGCAUUAAGCACUCCGCCUGGGGAGUACGGUCGCAAGGCUG